ACUACGAAUCAUAUGUGUUUUGUUUAUAAGUUUAUUUCCUGCGACGCGAUUUUAUUGGACUUUAGUCAUCCAAAAUGUUGAAUUUAAAGCACUUGGCCAGCCACGCCUACCGCCAGUACGAGCUGGUGACCUGCAUCAAUAUGCUGGAGCCCUGGGAAAAGAAGCUGAUCAAUGGAUUCUUCCUGAUCAUGCUGUCCCUGGUGAUCUUCUCCAGCUUCAUGUAUCUACCGGACUAUCUGCAAACCCUGCUGCAGUUCAUAACGCCACCCACUUGGCACAGUUCUCCGGAAAAUUCAGCCUAUGUGGCACAAAAAAUGGGACGGAGCUAAGUUCCCACAUAUCUUAUAUGUACAUCCGGUAGAAACCCUUGCCCACACAUACUCCCUAUAGAAAGACAACUAUGAUUUAACGUUUAUGAUAUAAUUGUGAUUCACCUCGACUGGUCCAAGAUCUGCAGAUUACAAUGGCCUCCACGAUUCGCAAAGCGGAUGUGUUGAAGAACAGGCCAACCAGACCUCCAAGGGAAACUAAUGGAUAAUAUUGUUUAAAAAAUAUAGUAGUUCCCUAAAGUUUUGGAGCUUACUCAAGAAAUCCAGGAUAGUUUUGGUCACACGACGAACAUAGCGUUGAGUGGGCAGCUCUACGAGUGCCACUCGAAUUUUAGAGACAUCAUCUGAGGCUUCGUCAUCCCUAGAAAUUAAAAGGAGAACCUAUUAUAUAUGCUUAUUUACUCAAAACCUAUAUCAUACUACUUCCAUUCGAUUCCUUAAAAGGAUGAUUAUGUUAUAAAUGUACUUACUCAUC